AAGUCGUAACAAGGUUUCCGUAGGUGAACCUGCGGAAGGAUCAUUAAAGUGUUUCUGGCUGUGCGCCUUCGGGCUGCACGCCGAAUCCAACUCCAACCUCUGUGCACUUUUCGGUGGAGACUUUAUUGUCUUCAUCUGUAUUACACACGUCUUAAUCAGUUUUGUAUGUUUUGAUAUAUAUGAAAUACAACUUUCAGCAACGGAUCUCUAGGCUCUC
rnacentral:misc_RNA from 1 species